UACGUAGGGGGCAAGCGUUGUCCGGAAUCAUUGGGCGUAAAGAGCGUGUAGGCGGCUCGGUAAGUCCGCUCUGAAAGCCCGGGGCUCAACCCCGGGAGGCGGGCGGAUACUGUCGGGCUAGAGUCCGGAAGAGGCGAGUGGAAUUCCUGGUGUAGCGGUGAAAUGCGCAGAUAUCAGGAGGAACACCGGUGGCGAAGGCGGAUCUCUGGGCCGUAACUGACGCUGAGGAGCGAAAGCAUGGGGAGCGAACAGG
rnacentral:rRNA from 1 species